AACAGAUUUACUUAACCACUGGCAAACCACAUUUCCUUUUCCAGGGCAAUAACUUAAAAUAUUAUGUAUUUCCCUUUGUUGCAAAGAGAGGAAAUACUUCUUCCUAGACUCAGGGCAGCUGUGACCCGUCCUCCCAGAGAAAUCAUUAAACCACAAGGAUUCAGACAGAGCCCAGAGCCCUGAAAACUUUGGCCACGCACUUUCCCGCAGCAGCCACAGGCACCGGCAACUUCAGAGAGAUAAAAGUGGAAUGAGGAAUGCAGCCGUUCUGAACACCACCCUCCAUUUCAUUCUGGAACCGGGAAGGUACACCCAGGCAUGACAAUAGCUUCUCUCCUCACAGAAAUUUAACUGAUUUCUUCAUUCUCCAUUUAGCAAGGUCAUGGAAGAUUUGGAGGAAACAUUAUUUGAAGAAUUUGAAAACUAUUCCUAUGACCUAGACUAUUACUCUCUGGAGUCUGAUUUGGAGGAGAAAGUCCAGCUGGGAGUUGUUCACUGGGUCUCCCUGGUGUUAUAUUGUUUGGCUUUUGUUCUGGGAAUUCCAGGAAAUGCCAUCGUCAUUUGGUUCACGGGGUUCAAGUGGAAGAAGACAGUCACCACUCU
rnacentral:lncRNA from 1 species